GACAAGUUUCCUGAGUGAAAUAGGCGGGCCGCCAUUAGCCCCUCACUCUGCCAACGACUUCCGGUUGUAUCUGCCAAGCACUUCCGCUUAGCGAGUUAGCGUCUUGUUUUUUUUGGUUAGCGUGCAGAAAAAGUAAACUAUGGAUGGUGUUACACGUCGACACGGCUUUGGGACAUAUUGUGCUGUUCGUGGUUGUAACAACUCGUGGCGAUUGCUGAAUGUUUGGUCGGAAGGAGAAUGAAUCAACCAUACAAGACGCCAAUGUGGAUGUGCUCCCCCGUAUACGUUGUAUGAGAAACCAAAAACAAAUGUUUAAUCAUUAUCUCGGAAGUGGCUAGCGGCUUUGAAGGUGAAGAAUCCGCUCAAAAGACUGUUUGUUUGUUCUUAUCACUUCAUUGGUUCUUUAGUUGGGAUAUACGAGCAAACCUCCCAGCAAAACAGAACAGAAACACAAGUGACACGCAAUCGGAUGAAGUGUGCAUCGAGCCGAAGUUUAAAGAUGCUGCAACACAAUGGGAGGACCUAACAAAAACUGACCACAGCUAUGCGGCAAAGUUGGACCAUAUGAACAAAUCGACGCAGGCUCUGGGUCAGACUGUGGCUGAUAUGCUCCUGGAUGAUGAUGCCUCACGGCUGUACACAGGACUGCGUCUAUAAUAUUUUUUACUUUAGUGAAAACGAUGUUGCCAUUCGUUUUCGCAACAAGUAUUCCUGUUCCCAUAGUGAAACUGAACCUUGUAGGGGAUGUGGCAAAGCACUUUAAAGUGUCUAAAGGUGUAGCAAGUAAGGUGAUUGCUCACUUUAAAUGUAUUGUUAUUGUACCCUUUCUGGUGUUAUGAUUAUUGAUAAGCCAAAACAGAGUUUUAACUAAGAAAAACGUGUGUGAGUGCUAUUCUUUUUCUUGCAUUGUAAAUAUUGACACAUGACAAUAAACAAUUUGUUUUUUGAGAAGAAAUAAAUUAAUUUUUAUUAA